AACGAACGCUGGCGGCAUGCCUAACACAUGCAAGUCGAACGAGACCUUCGGGUCUAGUGGCGCACGGGUGCGUAACGCGUGGGAACCUGCUCUUAGGUUCGGAAUAACUCCCCGAAAGGGGUGCUAAUACCGGAUAAUGUCUUCGGACCAAAGAUUUAUCGCCUUUGGAUGGGCCCGCGUUGGAUUAGCUAGUUGGUAGGGUAAAAGCCUACCAAGGCGACGAUCCAUAGCUGGUCUGAGAGGAUGAUCAGCCACACUGGGACUGAGACACGGCCCAGACUACUACGGGAGGCAGCAGUGGGGAAUAUUGGACAAUGGGCGAAAGCCUGAUCAAGCAAUGCCGCGUGAGUGAUGAAGGCCUUAGGGUUGUAAAGCUCUUUUACCCGGGAUGAUAAUGACAGUACCGGGAGAAUAAGCUCCGGCUAACUCCGUG
rnacentral:rRNA from 1 species